ACAUGAUAUUGAUCUUGACAUUUCAUGCAGCGCCAAGUAGGUUCCGAUGCCGCGGUUUGCAAGCCACGUGGUCAGAAAGGUGGGGUCGGCAAAGUACCAAAUACUGUAGAAGUGGCGCCUAUUUUUGUAAUGUUUUUGGUAUCCUGCCAUUGUUCUGGCAGGAGGCUAGUCGUGACUAAGCUGUAAGUUCUUACGGUUAGGGUAAGUGCCCCAUUUUGGCAGGUCAUUGGUUCGAAUCUUAGGUUGUGUCCAACUGCUUAGCAUAUUUUGUAAUUUGUACUGACACUCUUAAUGGGCUCAUGAAGUAAAAUAAUCGAUAUCCCACUUCUGAUUUUUUUUUAAAAUUUUUGCCACUGGCUUGUGACAGUACAAGUAAAUACUUGAGGGCGUGGCUUUAUGACCGUAGAGCAUGUGAUCGUUGUAACCGAAGUUGAAGCUUGGGGUAAAUGAUGUGUCGUUGUGCAGAUAGCUUCAUGUUUUUGCAAUGCAUGUCUUAUUCGUUUGCUGCAUGUAAACCAGAAACAUUAAUCGUGUUUCCCGGGAUGUGUCUACUCACGCCGUAUAAGAAUUCACCUUCACUAUAUUACAUUGUGAUCUUAUUAUCUGCAUUGUAGGUUAUUAAAUACAGCUGCAGGGUUUAAUGAGGACUUCUAUAUUGAAGAAGACGUUAACGAGACGUUGGGUUAACUUAUGAAUGUGCCCAACAUAAAAGAAGCGACGUUAACAUAUCUUGCCAUGUAAGGAAACAGAGAAGCAAGGGCAAUAUACCCAGUUGUGUUUUAUAAAAUUUCAGGAUAUAUGUAAAACGUGAAAAUUUAUAAAGUGGCGGGUGAAAUGUUUUUAACUGCAGUGCAUCCAAAUGCAAAUAGACCUGUUACAGUAUCUGCAAGGUCAACACAUUCUGCAAAGAUCCCACAUAAAUCACUGACAUCAAGAGAGCUAAGUGGGUACCAUUAUUUGUAGAACUUUUAUAAAUGUGUUUGUCAAACUGUCGUUUACCUUCCAGAGUACUAAGAACCGAGAUAUUUUUUCCAGUUGAGCGUUCUUCACGCUCUGUCGUGAGCGAAAACACCUUUGAGCCCGUCCUUGUCUGUCUAUUGCGUUUUUCCUAGAAACUAGAAAUUAUGAAUAGUUUAGAAAUAUGCAGGUGUGAUAAAUAUUUACAAAUGUGGCUUUGAAGACGUCACAAGCAGAUAGAAUUACUUGACAUUACUGUCCGUAAGCUGUUAAGAUUACUUUACAAAUUUAACCACUUUUGACGUAAUUAAAAGGGUACUCACUUUAGCCGUAACACAAAUGACAAGUUAAACAUAAACAUAAACAUAAACAUGGUGUAUUCCUGGUGUUCUAAAUCUGUAUCAGCCAGUCUGUCUUGUGUUUCUUGCCUGCAGCUUCUUUUAACGUAUGCAAUGAGAAUGAUUACCAGACAUUUGAAAAUAUUUUAAUGUCGUCGAUGUUUGGCAGUACGUGUCUCUGUGAGGAACUGUCCAACUUAAUGAAGAACUUCAAAUCAAGCACUACAACACACUGACGAACACUUAAAGGGAUGCAUUCGAAUUGCAGCAAGAGAAAUUACACCUGAUAUUUAAAUAUUAUUUAGUCAUUAGUGGUGUAAAAUGUCACACAAAUGACGGAUACUGUUAAAAAAGAUUGUUGAGCAGGGCAUGGAUCUCUGUUUGCAAAUAUUACGCUUGAUUACAUAGAAUUUAAGCAAACCGUUUCAAGUAGUUGUCCUUCUGUAUAACCUUAUGGCCCUCGAGUUUAUAAUAAAGGAUGAGUGUGACCUCA